GCUUUGGUGGCGUAAUGGUUAGAGCAUCCACCUCUGAUGCGGGAGAUCGCAGGCUCGAACCCUACUGAGUCAUACCAAAGACU